CGGCAGCUCGUCCCUAGUCCCGAGUCACACCUGUUUGGGUUCUGCAUCUGUGCAGGAAGGCAUCUUCCUGCACACUCGAGGGCUGCCUCCCCUCUUUCUCACAAUACAGGUCCUGGAGGGCCCGUGCGCACCGAGAGAUUGGUUUCCUGUGAAAAAGCUUUCCAGUGGUUAUCGAGGAUGCAGCCCUGAAUAAAAUAGAACUGCCCUGUGGCACUCAGCUCGAACUGGGGAGACACACAUUAGCUCUGCCUCUUUUCUGGGUGGACACAUGUAUGGUGAUUUGGAUUCCAGUCCCAAUUCUGCUGGGUGACCCUGGACAAAUAAGUGGCUUCAGUUUCCUCAUCUGUAAAAUUGGGGUUGCCUUGGAGAUUUGAUGACCUCAUGCAUGAAGAGCAUGGGUCUGG